rnacentral:pre_miRNA from 1 species
AGCUUAAUGGUUGAGUCAUGUGGUAAUUUAACUUUCUGAGGAACUGCCAAACUGUUUUCCACAGAAACUGCACCAUUGUACACUCCCAUCAGCAAU